UUAAUCAGUAUCAGUCCCAUCUGCUCUCCGAUAUUGGGUGUAUCGAUUUUCAUAUAAACCUGGAGGUGAUCCAAGUUCUUUUGGGGCAACUGGGAAGCAGCACCAUAGUACAAAUGCCACGAAUGCCACAAAUGUGCCAACCAAGAGUUCUUCUCCAAGAAGAAUUGAGUUAAUGAGGAACAUGAAGUCAUCAAAAGGUGUCAUCUUUCUGCUUUACUGUUUAAUAUGCAAAAAUUGUUGCAGGACAAAAGAUCAUGGGUUGAUCCGUUCAUUGGACGAAAAAAUUCCUCUAAAUGGAAAUAAGACCACAAAAACAGUUUUAUGACGCCACCAAAGACGUAUGUUUAACCAAGGGUAUCGAAGCACUUCGAAGCCUGUUUACAACGAAUGGAACUCACCCAAGAUGGAAAGUGGUUUAUAACGGGUUUCAUUACUAGACACUGGUAAAUCAAAUAUUAAAUUUUGUCUCUCUGGAUUUCCCACUUAAUCAGUUAAUCUUUACAUUUAUUAGGACCAUCCCAUUGCAAAGACACAAAACCAUCCAUACAACUCUUUGCAAAAGAUUUUACUGUCAACUACCUAAGGAAGGGCUAAACAGCAUCUUUUUUGCUAUACUGCGAUUAUUCCCCGGAUCGCCGGUUGCGGAUGUUUACAUCACAGAGACCACAGAGACAUAUUAAGUCAAAGAACAAGGAGAAUUCGGGCGAUUUAUACGCUGUCGUCUUAGGACUGAACAUCCGAUUUCAUGCUUUUGCAAAUGAAUUUGGUCAAGCAGUUUCGUUCUUUGGUUGUACCCACUGAAGAUCCAUCUUGUAAACGUUUCUUUAUAUGUGGAUCAACAGUUUUCUCCAUCAGUCGUAUAGCUCUAUCAAAGAGAAAGCAAGACUAUCAUACAAUGGUCGCAGCCAGACACGCCAACUUCUCUAGACAAGGAUUAUGAGUGUCAAGCAAGCCCCGGUGGCGCACGAAUUCGGCUAGUCUCUCGCCAUCGUCAGGUGAGUAAGAUUCUAGCAUGGCGUCCAUUGUUGGGAAAAAAUGGGCGUCCAAUAACGUAAUGUCAGCGUCUAAAAUGUCUCCGCUCAACGAAAAUUGCAAGUCAUCAUCAUAAUCAUUAUACAGGUCACGUUUCUUUCUUCCAAUUAGCGAGUUGGUAGUAUUGGUCAAUAAAGCCAGAGCUAGGGGUAUCAACAAUGAACUGAGCAGAAGGGAAGGUGCAAGCGAACUUAGAAGAUGAAUAGUGUCUGCUUUUGUGGCUCCUUGUUGUGCUGGAUAGGAGACCUAGACAGAAAUAAGAUGUUUAUCGAAAUGUUUAUACGAAAUCCAAGUUUUAGGACUAUUACGGAGUAAGAUGGAGAUCCGCCGCCGUAUGGUACGCCAAAUGAUGAAGAUCCGCUGUUCAGGCCGUAGCUACCGCCUGAGCUACCACCAAAAUUAAAACUGUUUCCACCUGAACCGUAACUACCUGCUCCAGUAGAUCCUGCUCCGUAACUGCUUAAUCCAGUAGAUCCUGCUCCGUAACUACUUGCUCCUGUAGAUCCUCCGUAACUACCACCUGUGAGUCCGCCAUAACUUGAACCAACUCCACCAGAACUUCCUCCAUAGCUUCCGCCUGAUCCAUAGUUUCCAAUAGAUCCUGUUGAAUCAUAACUUCCGAUUGCUCCGACAGAUGAGCUUCCGUAUCCUGCGCCUGCGCCGCCAGAUCCUCCUCCAUAUCCUCCACCGGAACUAGCUGAUCCACCUCCAUAGCUUCCGACCGAGCCACCCGAUCCAUAGCUUCCAAGCGAACCACCAGUGCCUGCCCCGUAGCCUCCACUGGCGGCGGAAGUAUAGCUGCAGCCAUAUGUAACAGAUCCAAACCUUGUGCUGGAUGCUGAAGCGGCCAAGUUGUUCGACUUCUGUUCAGCCUGAACGUCAGCUGCAAUUUGAUCUAAUUCGGGAUUUUCGGGAACUGCCUUGUCCAAAGAAUUAGACCCACUUAUAUAAGGAUCAACUGCAAGUGAAACACAUCAAUUUGAUAAAUGUAAAAAGCUUCGUUUUGAUACUGUGACGUGAUUUACCGUGAUUGGCUAAGUUAUUUGCUGCUACAACUGGUGGGGAUGAAGCAGCUGGAACUAGUGGCUCUUGUUGCUGAUGUAACAACUGGUGGUAAUUUUGCUGAUGUUUAAAAAGCUGUUGGUUGUGAUGCAGGUUGCCGAUGCUCGCAGAUGGAACUGAACAAUUUAAAAAGUUGAAUCUC
rnacentral:lncRNA from 1 species